GAAAGAGGCGCGAUCGAGACUCACAGUUACCUGCUGCGCGACUGCAAACGAGUCUCUGCGCUUAUUUAGCGAUUUAUUUAUUUAUUUCUAAUAGCAAGUUUGGUACGUGGUUUAUUUCGUCCGCACGUUUCCUGUAAGCCUCUCUGGGAGCCUCACAGCCGAAAUGGAUGGCGAUUCGCUGUUUGGUGUCUCAGGUCUGAUUAUGGAGGUGAGACUCUGAUUAACUUGCUCUGGAUCAUUAAUUUAAUAAGAAUUAACUUCACUCUUGUUGAAUAUCAAAGUCCAGCCUGUUCAUUUUACACACAACUCAAGAAAACACCUGGAGAACGGGAUCCGCAGCACCUCCUGGAAUCCUUUCUGUUCGAACCCAC
rnacentral:lncRNA from 1 species